UAGAGGGGGCACCCCUGCUCCGCAACGCCGCGUGAGCGAAGAAGGCCUUCGGGUCGUAAAGCUCUCUUGUCAGGGAAGAAACAGCAGCUCUAACACAGCUGUGAAUGACGGUACCUGAAGAAUAAGCACCGGCUAACCACGUGCCAGCAGCCGCGGUAAUACGUAGGGUGCAAGCGUUAAUCGGAAUCACUGGGCGUAAAGCGUGCGCAGGCGGUUAUACAAGACAGGCGUGAAGUCCCCGGGCUUAACCUGGGAAUUGCGUCUGUGACUGUAUAGCUAGAGUGUGUCAGAGGGGGGUAGAAUUCCACGUGUAGCAGUGAAAUGCGUAGAUAUGUGGAGGAAUACCAAUGGCGAAGGCAGCCCCCUGGGACAACACUGACGCUCAUGCACGAAA
rnacentral:rRNA from 1 species